CUAAACCAACACAACUUAUUGAACAACAAGUGAAUAUAGGUGUCCAAUUUUAUUUUUUGGCUUGACCCCAAAUAGGUUAUCCUAACAGACAAUACUAGGUUUCAUUAUUUUCACACAGAAAAGAGAAGGUUGUACGGCAGCAGGGGCUCGAGGGAUGGUGGUCGACGGCGGCAGGGGACUCGGGGCUGGGCUUGACGGCAACGACUGGUUGCUCGGAGGCUGGGCUCGACGGCGGGUUGGGGGGGGGGGGGUCUCGGGUCUAGGCUCGAUGGCGCAGGGGGGGUCGAGGUACAAAUGGCAGAGCUCAUGCGAAGGCUCAACGGAGCUGCAAGGGGUGCGACGGGGCUCGGCUGUGUUUCAGACGUUAUAGAGAGGGUGCUCUCGAUUGCGAAGGGCUUGCGUGCAGUUGACUGCGACGGUGCUUGGGGCAACGACGUGGCUUGGGCUCUCAACAAGGUUGGGCGAAGCGACGUGGGUUGGGGCUCUCGACGGUGGCAGCUGCAACAAGAUUUUACACAUAGAUACCGAAGAUUGAAAGAAUAUUCUCACUUUUAUUCCACUGGUGCCAGCUUGUGUGUUUGAACAGUCUCUAUUACAAAUUAAUGGACAAAAUUGAAUCAAUGGGAAAAAAAAACCUGAUUAUUUAUUUAUAGAAAGAGGAGAUGGUGGUGGCAAGUCACGAGGCUCUGCACUCAGUUAGGUAGCCUGCAAGUCACGAGGACCGAGGUGGACAAGCUAAGCAUUUGACUCAACCCAAGGCUGAGAAGAAAGAGUAAGAUGAGCAUUUGGUUUUUCUCUUCUUUGCAUUAUUAUUUAAUUAUUUAAUUCAGAUUUGACUCACUUUCAUUAUAUUAUAACAUUGUAAAUGUGUGUAUGUGCUGAGACAGACUUCAAAAAAACUAUUUUGCAACAGUUUGCAAGAGGUAUGCCUCUAACUUUUAUUUUAAUACUAUGCAAAUGUUAGAGGAGUUUGAAUAUCUUAAAUAUUCAUCCAUAGUGAAGUAGGUUAUGAGAUUGUUACUGUGUGCUGUGGUGAUAACGGAAGAUUGAGAACUUGUGUGUUUUAGUGAAGUAGGAUCUGAGAAAUUUGUGUGCUGCGGAGAUAAGAAAGAAAACUUGUGUGUUGUUUGAAUUGAUGUAGACUUGUCUAUGAUCAUCCUAUAAUUGAAUUGUGUUUGUUUGACUGGUUUGAUUAUAACAUAUACUUGUAUGAAUGUACAUAUUGCGUGUUGGCAUACGCAUAUAGCAUAACCUUUUGUAUUUCUUGUUUUGUAUAUGUUAGUUUUCUUCUUGUCCCUUGUCUAAUGUCUUUGGUGAGUGAUUUAUAACAUUGAGCAUCACUUUUGGUUCUUGUGAUCAGAUGUAGGUUCAAUAGUAUAAAGUGCUAUACAAAAGUUUGACGUUAUUAGCAUAUUGGUUGAUAAUUCAUGAUUUCUUUUUUUGCACCAGAACUACUAUCUCAAUUUGUGUUUAUUUUAAUUGAAGCAUAGCUUUAUGUUUCUUUGUAUUCUAAUAGUUUAAUCAUUUUCUUAUUUAAAUAAUAUCUAAGUUAUUUGUUUUCUUCCAAACUAUGAUUGUUUUUAUCAUGUUCGAUGGCUUUAGUUGAAACAAUGUAUUAUUUAAACAAUUGAAAGUUUUCUAAAAAAAUCAAUUGGUGAGUUUUGGGUUCAAUCAAUUGAGACAUUAGAUAUAUAUUUAUAUAUUUACUCGAUGAUUUCCUUUUCUGCACCAGAACUACUAUCUCAAUUUGAGUUUAUUUUAAUUGAAGCAUAACUUUGUGUUUCAUUGUAGUCUAAUAGUUUGAUCAUUUUCUUACUUAAAUAAUAUCUAAGUUAUUUUUUUCUUUCAAACUGCGAUUGUUUUUACCAUGUUCGAUGACUUUAGUUGAAACAAUGUAUUCUUUAAACAAUUGAAAUUUUUCUAAAAUGGAUUGAUUAUGACUUUGUUAAAAAUGCUGCAUUUGCAUAGAAUUCAUAAUUAUAUGGCUAUUUAUUAAAAGGAAUAUAUAUGCUUGACCAAAAGAAAUUAUGAUUUUCUAUUUAGCAAAUGUGAAUUAGAUUUAUAAAUUUGGAUUAGGCUUAUUCACAACUCGUGUUACUUUAACAACUUUGUCUGGUAUGCUCGUUGUGUUACUUUAAUAACUUUAACAAAUGUCACCUGGUAUGCUUGUGUUAUAUAUUAAUGAUCUAUUAUAUUUAUGUUCUUGGUGUUCUUAUUUAUAACUAUAUUAUCUUUUCUUUUCUUGCUAAGUACUAUGGACUUAGAAUCUUAUGCAUAUUACCUACACAGUGCAUGUCUUUAUAUGUGUAUAUAUGUAUAUUAAUUUCUCGAUGUUUAUUGUAUAUUUGCUAAUGUGCUAUGAAUGAUUGGUAAUUUGGUUUAUUAAUGUCUGUGAUUUCAUAAACUAACUAGCUUGAGCACUUUUAAAUUGAGACUGACAGGUAUGCAUUCCUUAGUUUAAAUAAUUAAGACUGACUACUUAAGCCAUGAGGCUAUCCAAUUUGAUAAGAAAAAUACAACUUUUAUAUAAAUUAUUUGUGACUGAAAACCACAAUCAUCCUUUUUAUUUAUUCUGCAACCUCAAGUUCUCUAUUUAUUUUAGUUUUGGUUUAACUUUAAUGAUGUUUAUUCUGUAUUGUAGGCUAAAACUCUACUUGGAUAUUUAAGAGAACCAAGACAAUUAUAUAAAAGAACCAAGGCAACACGAAAUUCUUCUUCAAGUUGUUGGGUAUUAUUUUCUUUUUUGCUUGUAAGAAUUAUGUACAGUGAGGAUUUGAUGUAUUAUUUACAUCGAGAAUAAUGAAUUUUUAUUGAGAAUUAUAAUGAAUUUUCAUUGAGACUUAUUUAGUCUCAUGGGGAUUUGAUGUAUUAUUUACAUUUCAAUUGUAUGAAUAAAUGUUGUAUGUAUAUGAA